CCCAGGGAUCAAACCGGUGAAUCCUGAAACUCUUGCGUUGGCAGGUGCAUUCCUCACCACUGAGCCACUGGCAAAGUGCACGACAAACCUAAAUUUAUAUUCAGCAGAAUUUUGGAACCUAAACGAAUUACACUAAGAAAGGUACCUGAAAUACUCAAAACAAUUGGGUGAUUUUUACUGACUUGCUAGCAGCUAACUAGAGUCUGAUUAGUAUAAGGGUGAGGUGGCAUUUGGGAUUCUGCUCCUUCCAUCACUAAAGGUUCCAGACUUCUUCAAUAUGGGGAUUUCAAGGUCCCUGGAGAUUGAUAUCCAAAAGGAAGACACGGGAAAAAAGAGCAUAUAUAAUAUGGGUGUUGUUAUGGGCCUGACCUGGGCGUGGUAUACACCACACUACACUUUGUUGCCAGUGUUACUGGUUGAAUUGUACCCCUCUAAAGUUCACAUGGUGAAUCCUAACCCCUACUACCUCUAAAGGUAAUCUUAUU